CUACUAAUUUCCGUAUCUUCGUAGACAUCGGAACAAUACAGAGAAAAUUAGCACGACCCUACUUAAGGAUGAGACACACAAAUAGAGAAGAUAUAUUGUAUUUU